GCCUGGCGUUUAAUGGUUACAUCUUUCAGAAAGAGCAUGAAGAGAAAGACCUUUGUAUUCUGUCAUCUCCUUAUCCGGAUGUGGUAGCACAGGACAUGCCCUACACUGUAAACACUCUAUAACGCUGUUAAUGCCACUCUCCCCUGCUCCUAACCACACAAACCGUCGUUGUCUUUUGUAUUUUGACAAUGAGAUUUCUUUGUGUCCAUUCUCUACCCACUUCAUCCGCCCACCCCUAACCCCUAAGCACACCACAUCAGAGCCUUUUCCAGUGAGUUGAGUGAAAGACCGUUAGGAAAUUUCAGUUGCAGAUGUCAGAAACUAAACUCGCUGAACUAAACUCAAAUAGCUUGGACUCAAAGAGGGAAUUUACUGGAAGGGUGUGUGGCUAUCUCACAGAACACUAGGAAGAAAAGAGGAGCUGCAGGAGCUCAGAUCAAUUCUCAUGGGACUUUCAUGGUCAUCUGCAGACAUGCACAGAGCAGUGAAGAGUCUGAGUCACCCAGAGCCCAUGUUCCCAGCUGAAGUCAAAGAAGAAAAUGUUCACCUUCUCGUUUCAGCUCUCAUACUGUAAACAUGUGACCUUUU